UGUUCACAGCGUUAUAGAAAAACAGAUAAAAAGGCAUCUCAAAUCGUCUCCAAUAUACAUACCAGAUCAUUAUACUAUGCUGAUCCGAACAGCAAAAAAGAACGGUCCUCUGUAUCAUGUACACGAAUUCACUUAUAAGGACUUCUUUGAUUUGAAGACCUUACAAGAAGAAUGAGGAAACAACUUUACUAUAGGUACCGACAGAACUAAAGUUAAGUGGCAUGAUAUUAAAGUGCUCAGAGUGGAAAAGGAACAGCCACGUGCAUUUUUUUUAUAAAACAUCGUAUGCAGACGCAGAAUUUAAAAAAGUUGUGGUGAAGAAAACAAGAGCUCAAGAAGAUUUCAACAAUGUGCAGUUGGUUCCAGCUUAUUUGAAAAAAUUUCCUUUGGCUGAUACAAAGAAGCUAGCUCUUAGAACACUAUGUGAAAAAAAUACAAUUGAAAAAAUAUUAUUAGCAAUUUUACAAAGAUAUUUUUGAAUUACAGUAAGCUAUUACUUUCCUUUUUUUGUGUUUAAUUGAAGAACAGAACUUUUAGUUUAUGAUUGCUUAUUGUACAUACUUUGUACAUUUUUAUUGCUAACUGUUAUAAGUAGUAAUUAUUAUUUAAUAUAAUAAUCCGGAUAGCGCCAUGGGGGCCCAUGGCUAGAUAUAGCCUGUCCGGGAGUGCCGCAAUCGGCUGAGUCCGG
rnacentral:lncRNA from 1 species